UGGGGAAUAUUGGACAAUGGGGGGAACCCUGAUCCAGCCAUGCCGCGUGUGUGAAGAAGGCCUUAUGGUUGUAAAGCACUUUAAGCGAGGAGGAGGGUACUGGUAUUAAUACUACCAGCUACUGGACGUUACUCGCAGAAUAAGCACCGGCUAACUCUGUGCCAGCAGCCGCGGUAAUACAGAGGGUGCGAGCGUUAAUCGGAUUUACUGGGCGUAAAGCGUGCGUAGGCGGCUAAUUGAGUCGGAUGUGAAAUCCCCGAGCUUAACUUGGGAAUUGCAUUCGAUACUGGUUAGCUAGAGUGUGGGAGAGGAUGGUAGAAUUCCAGGUGUAGCGGUGAAAUGCGUAGAGAUCUGGAGGAAUACCGAUGGCGAAAGCAGCCAUCUGGCCUAACACUGACGCUGAGGUACGAAAGAAUGGGGAGCAAACAGG
rnacentral:rRNA from 1 species